rnacentral:rRNA from 1 species
AGAUUGAACGCUGGCGGCAUGCCUUACACAUGCAAGUCGAACGGCAGCACGGGAGCAAUCCUGGUGGCGAGUGGCGAACGGGUGAGUAAUACAUCGGAACGUGCCCAGUAAUGGGGGAUAGCCCGGCGAAAGCCGGAUUAAUACCGCAUACGACCUAUGGGUGAAAGCGGGGGAUCGCAAGACCUCGCGUUGUUGGAGCGGCCGAUGUCAGAUUAGCUUGUUGGUGGGGUAAAAGCCCACAAGGCGACGAUCUGUAGCUGGUCUGAGAGGACGACCAGCCACACUGGGACUGAGACACGGCCCAGACUCCUACGGGAGGCCAGCAGUGGGAAUUUUGGACAAUGGGCGCAAGCCUGGAUCCAGCCAUGCGCGUGUGGAAGAGGCCUUCGGUGUAAACCACUUUUGUACUAGGAAGAAACGGCUAACGAGUUAA